GACGAACGCUGGCGGCGUGCUUAACACAUGCAAGUCGAACGGAAAGGCCCUGCUUUUGUGGGGUGCUCGAGUGGCGAACGGGUGAGUAACACGUGAGUAACAUGCCCUUGACUUUGGGAUAAAUUCAGGAAACUGGGGCUAAUACCGGAUAGGAGCUCCUGCUGCAUGGUGGGGGUUGGAAAGUUUCGGCGGUUGGGGAUGGACUCGCGGCUUAUCAGCUUGUUGGUGGGGUAGUGGCUUACCAAGGCUUUGACGGGUAGCCGGCCUGAGAGGGUGACCGGCCACAUUGGGACUGAGAUACGGCCCAGACUCCUACGGGAGGCAGCAGUGGGGAAUAUUGCACAAUGGGCGGAAGCCUGAUGCAGCAACGCCGCGUGCGGGAUGACGGCCUUCGGGUUGUAAACCGCUUUCGCCUGUGACGAAGCGUGAGUGACGGUAAUGGGUAAAGAAGCACCGGCUAACUACGUG
rnacentral:rRNA from 1 species